UCCCUGAUAGCUCAGUUGGUAAAGAGUCUGCCUGCAAUACAGGAGACCCCAGUUCAAUUCUGGGUUGGGAAG
rnacentral:tRNA from 1 species